rnacentral:rRNA from 1 species
UACGGGGGGGGCAAGCGUUGUUCGGAAUUACUGGGCGUAAAGGGCUCGUAGGCGGCCAACUAAGUCAGACGUGAAAUCCCUCGGCUUAACCGGGGAACUGCGUCUGAUACUGGAUGGCUUGAGUGUGGGAGAGGAAUGCGGAAUUCCAGGUGUAGCGGUGAAAUGCGUAGAUAUCUGGAGGAACACCGGUGGCGAAGGCGGCAUUCUGGACCAUAACUGACGCUGAUGCGCGAAAGCUAGGGGAGCAAACAGG